AUUGAACGCUGGCGGCAGGCCUAACACAUGCAAGUCGAGCGGAUGAAGGGAGCUUGCUCCUGGAUUCAGCGGCGGACGGGUGAGUAAUGCCUAGGAAUCUGCCUGGUAGUGGGGGAUAACGUCCGGAAACGGGCGCUAAUACCGCAUACGUCCUGAGGGAGAAAGUGGGGGAUCUUCGGACCUCACGCUAUCAGAUGAGCCUAGGUCGGAUUAGCUAGUUGGUGGGGUAAAGGCCUACCAAGGCGACGAUCCGUAACUGGUCUGAGAGGAUGAUCAGUCACACUGGAACUGAGACACGGUCCAGAAUCCUACGGGAGGCAGCAGUGGGGAAUAUUGGACAAUGGGCGAAAGCCUGAUCCAGCCAUGCCGCGUGUGUGAAGAAGGUCUUCGGAUUGUAAAGCACUUUAAGUUGGGAGGAAGGGCAGUAAGUUAAGACCUUGCUGUUUUGACGUGACCAACAGAAUAAGCACCGGCGAACUUCGU
rnacentral:rRNA from 1 species